rnacentral:rRNA from 1 species
UACGGAGGGUGCGAGCGUUGUCCGGAAUCAUUGGGCGUAAAGGGCGCGUAGGUGGUUCUGUAUGUCUACCGUGAAAGCGUACGGCUCAACCGUAUUUUGUCGGUGGAAACUGCAGGACUUGAGGCUGGGAGGGGCUGGUGGAAUUCCCUGUGUAGCGGUGAAAUGCGUAGAGAUGGGGGAGAACACUCGUGGCGAAGGCGGCCAGCUAGACCAGUUCUGACACUGAGGCGCGACAGCGUGGGGAGCAAACAGG